GGCUUUGUAACUCAACUGGCAGAGCGUUUGCCUUGUUGAGGCAUGGUGUUUCUGUCGCUGGUUUGAAUCCAGCCGAAGCUC